AUAUAACUACAGUUCAUCCUUGUGAAAGAUGUGAAGAGUUUGGAAACUGUUCAAAUGAACACGGUUGUGCUUUAUUUUCAGCAGGACAUGGAGGUACUGUUAAAGAAGGCUUAGGAAAGGGUCAUACAAUAUUGAUAGCUGUUGUUCUUUCUUUAGCUAUAAUUACAAUUUUAUUAAUUACCUGUAUUGACUUAAGAGAAAGAAAUCACAGAAAACAGAAACAGAAAA